UUGACCUCAAAUCAGGUAGGACUACCCGCUGAACUUAAGCAUAUCAAUAAGCGGAGGAAAAGAAACUAACAAGGAUUCCCUUAGUAACUGCGAGUGAAGAGGGAAAAGCUCAAAUUUAAAAUCUGGCAGUGUUUCACUGUCCGAGUUGUAACCUAGAGAAGUGUAACCUGUGCUGGACCGUGUACAAGUCUCCUGGAAUGGAGCAUCACAGAGGGUGAGAAUCCCGUCUUUGACAUGGACUGCCAGUGCAUUGUGGUUGUGCUCUCAACGAGUCGAGUUGUUUGGGAAUGCAGCU
rnacentral:rRNA from 1 species